GAAAAUGAAAUAAUGUAUAUGCAAAAGCACAGGGGAAGCUGCCCUGCAAGGCGAAGACCUGCCUGAUACACUUAUCACCUGAACCUGUGGCAAGUGAUUUUCUCUUCCUUUAUCAUGUCACCUUCCAGCCCCAU
rnacentral:lncRNA from 1 species